CCCAAGUCCAGGACCUGUCUGGGAAUUGUGGACAUAUCGGUAGGACACGGGCAAGGAUUGCCAUCUCGCUCAGCACCUGUUUCCUUGAACGAUGAGAAUAACCCAUCUCUCCUGUUUUAAGUGUGAUUUGUCAUAUACAUCAAUAGGCAUCUUGGCUCAACAUACGAAAGCCCCUUUCCACAGAGACAGCUGCCUCCAGCCUGAAGAAGUUGCCACAGGAGGUAGAAGGAGGUCCCUUGCCCAUGCCUGGGAGACCCAGCCAGAGUGGACAGGGAGGCGGCCCGGGCCGGGGUGCCAGACUCAGCAAAUAAACACAGCAUGCCCAGGUAACUCUGAAUUUCAGAUAACCAACGAAUAACUUUGUGUGAUACUAUAUUUGUACUCAAAAGUAACUCGUUUAUCUGAAAUUCAAAGUUGACGGCGCAUGUGGUACUGUAUUGAAUCUGGCAACGCUCCACCUUGGUUUUCCUACCCGGGUUUGUGGAAGGGGCUCCCCCUGCCCCGCAGGUGCCGCCCCGAGGAGGUGGAGGAGGAGGAGCCGGGCACUGACUGGGGACCCAGGUGAGUCUAGCAAAUGACAAGGCCCAACGGUCAAAACCGCCUCAGUAAUGCGCUCGUCCAAAGCACGCACUUAACGCUCAAUCCUGGUGUCGCGUCCCGUUGCCAGGCAACGAAAGCAAGCGCUGCAAAGACGAAGGGGAGCGCCCAAGGAUGAGGAACGUUCCAAGACACUGAGUGAUUUGCUGAAAAUCACACAUCUAGAUGCAAAGCCAGAAUGCGAGCAGUGACCACCACACUUGACAAAUCCGUUGUUGCACACAUUUGUACUCUUCAAUCAACAAAACCUGAUGCAAAAAACAGAAAAGGGGGAGAUGUACAUGCAUUUUCCCUCACUGCAAAAAAAACACAACUUGUUUAACUACAGGUGUGUUCCUGGUGGUCUUUGAAUGAAGACAUUGACAGAAAGUAACAUAGCAUGCUGGUUAAAGACUGUUUUUAUUCGAAUCCUGGCUUUGCCAAUCAACAGCUGCAUAAAUUAAACUCUCGACCUCAGCUCCCUUAUUUGUAAAACAAGAAUAACAAAAAGACAUUUUUAUAAGGUUGGGUUGAAGGUUAAAUGAAAUAACAGAAGAUUAUCUCUUCACUAAUUUUAGCUGUAGAAAACAGAAGCCAAUCGAAAGAGCUCCCAGUCCAAAGCUGGAACAACUUGAACAACAAAAUAAAUAAUGUAGCAUUGGAUUACAAACCAACCAUAAAACAAAUAUCCAUGAGUCUAUACUGAUGUCAAUAAAUGAAUAAAUGUGGGAAAAUAGACAAAUCUCCUUUCUCAUACAGAAGGAUUCCAAAUAAUUUGUGUAGAUAUUUCACUUUUAACUUGUUCUGUGGCUACGCAUUAAGUCAGGAUUUCCUUUCUUGCAUAAGGAGGACAAGG
rnacentral:lncRNA from 10 species